rfam:Otolemur garnettii contig002466, whole genome shotgun sequence.
GUGCCUGUGGUUCAAAGGAGUAGGGCGCUGGCCUCAUAUGCCAGAGGUGGUGGGUUCAAACCCAGCCCUGGCCCA